rnacentral:rRNA from 1 species
UACGUAGGGUGCGAGCGUUGUCCGGAAUUAUUGGGCGUAAAGAGCUUGUAGGCGGUCUGUCGCGUCUGCUGUGAAAAUCCGGGGCUCAACCCCGGACUUGCAGUGGGUACGGGCAGACUAGAGUGUGGUAGGGGAGACUGGAAUUCCUGGUGUAGCGGUGAAAUGCGCAGAUAUCAGGAGGAACACCGAUGGCGAAGGCAGGUCUCUGGGCCACUACUGACGCUGAGACACGAAAGCGUGGGGAGCAAACAGG